rnacentral:misc_RNA from 1 species
UUGCAUUCCCUUUUUAUGUGAUAGGGCUUUUUCUGGCUGACUGCAGUUGGUAUACAAUUGAUGGGAGUUAUCUUCAUGGCAUGAAAAUAAUUUAUGUUACAGUUAAUUGAAGAACUUCACCCACAAUUUUUGGGAUGGGAUGUCAUUAUUACUUCCAACUUGUUGAGCUGAUCAUGAACAUGCUGUGAAACUUAAAACGUGGGACUUGUUGAGAAAGUACUGUAAUAACAAAAAUUAUCGAAUUGGUUUUUUUCUAUAUCCAUGACAGAGGCAUUAGUAGGAACCAUGCUUGUGCACUUAAAAAGGCAACCAUUUGAUUCUUACCUAGUGUAUUUAUUUGUAAAGUAAUCGAG